GUAGAGCACGCUUGGGUGAAACGGCUUUUAUUCCACGGCCCUCCUCUCUCAGUCCUGUCCUCGUUCCCCAUUUUCCUCCUCCCAAAUCAGGCCAGAUCCAGCGGUAACCACCGGAGGAGGCAAAGGUAACCGGCGCCACAACCGCAGCCAAAGAUGGGCGGCGAACAUUGGGAAGUGGAUCAACUGCCACCGUAGCUGAAGUUGGGCGGAGGAAGCUGAAGACGUUAGCCCGCGGGGGGGUUCGCUGCUCGUCGCCAGUGCAGUGAUUUGAGCUGAAAUAGAAGGAAGGAAGUACAUAAGAGUACUAAGAGGAUAGUUUAGAUGGUUUUGCUCAACCCUCUCAAAAUGCAUCUGUGUGGUUUCUCUGUUUUCUCUUAAGUUGUGUUCAUAUAAGUAACCAGUUGGCUAGUUUAUUGUAACAGUUGCACAGGGAUGCAAAUGUAGUUGGAUCACACAUAUACGUAUGUUAGUUGGCUAGCCAACUUAUGAAGUUGCACAAUAAGGGCUAACCAGUUGCACAUUCGAUGAUAUUCAGAUGGAUACACGGA